rnacentral:rRNA from 1 species
AGCUUGCUCCUGAUGUUAGCGGCGGACGGGUGAGUAACACGUGGGUAACCUGCCUGUAAGACUGGGAUAACUCCGGGAAACCGGGGCUAAUACCGGAUGGUUGUUUGAACCGCAUGGUUCAAACAUAAAAGGUGGCUUCGGCUACCACUUACAGAUGGACCCGCGGCGCAUUAGCUAGUUGGUGAGGUAAUGGCUCACCAAGGCAACGAUGCGUAGCCGACCUGAGAGGGUGAUCGGCCACACUGGGACUGAGACACGGCCCAGACUCCUACGGGAGGCAGCAGUAGGGAAUCUUCCGCAAUGGACGAAAGUCUGACGGAGCAACGCCGCGUGAGUGAUGAAGGUUUUCGGAUCGUAAAGCUCUGUUGUUAGGGAAGAACAAGUACCGUUCGAAUAGGGCGGUACCUUGACGGUACCUAACCAGAAAGCCACGGCUAACUACGUGCCAGCAGCCGCGGUAAUACGUAGGUGGCAAGCGUUGUCCGGAAUUAUUGGGCGUAAAGGGCUCGCAGGCGGUUUCUUAAGUCUGAUGUGAAAGCCCCCGGCUCAACCG